AUCUUAACAUAAAAUCUAGUAACAUGAGUAUGGACAAAAACGUUGCAAUAUAGUAAAAUGGAAAUCAUAAAAUUUUCUUUGCGAUAUUUAUCUAGUUUUUUUAUCUGACUAUAUUUAGAAUGCACUUUAUGCAUUGAUGGCCAAUCGAACAACACGAUGGGAACAGUAUUAUGCAUAUACUUUGUGUACUUCAGACGUAUUCAGUAUUUUGAAGUACGUAUUCAGUAUAGUAUACGUACUUCAGAUAUGUAUUUUAGAACACAUCGGUGUGUUUUAUAGUGCAAGUCAUCCAUUCGUGAAAACAAGUACGAUUUCCUAUGAAAAGAUUGUCGAUGUAUGUACGUAUAAUACAAUUAAAAAAAAAAAAUUCUUUUUCUCACACAUUUUUGCAAUAUUAUCUCCGCAGCAACGCGUUGAUUACCUUACGUGUCGAAUGUUGGGUUAUUUUCGUCACGCGCCUUUCCUAGAAUCCGUAUUUCGCGACGGUCGGGCACGGACGUUGUGUUGUUUACCUCACGAUAGUUUCGAAUAAAAACAAACAUGAAUAUAAAGCUGUCUGGAAUUUUUCGAGUUUUUCGUUCGCUGUACUAUAAGAUUACGUAUCAAUAUCACACGAUUGCUUCUACUUAAUAAGCGUGUAAAAUUAACCUAUAAUUGGAUUUACAUGAAUAAUAUAUAAUAUAUAAGGAAUAUUGCAUUUUUUCGCAUUAAAGCAAUAAACAAACGUCUUGAAAUAUUAUUUAAUGUAUAUGGUUGUGUGAUUAUUGGUCUUUCGAUAUUCUUAAAGUCAUUAAAGUUUAUUCUAUUGUGUUGUACAUUGCGAAUCAGCACGCAUCGACAUGAAGUUACCGUCCUACGAAUUUUUAUAAAUACAUGACGUCACGACAUCUUGCGCGUCGAACAGUUGGCAAGAAUAGGAGCAGAACUGUCGAAUGCGAGCAAGCGUUGUCUUCUAUUUCAUGUGUUUUUUCUCGUUCAAAGUGAAUUCGUCGACAAACAAAUACCGGGAAUGUUGAAUUUAGCGAUGAAUGAGCAUUAUAGAAUGUUAAUUAGUGUGUACAAUCGCGAUUAUUAUUACUAAUUGUUUAUCGAUAUUCAUAUAACCUAUAACCGUUGCAUCGCAUCAGUCGUCGAAUCGUCGAGCAUCAGUAUGAAAUUAUCUUCGUUUUUCGAAUUCUUUAAACAUAUCUCGAAAGUAACGGGAGUGUCGUGCGAAGUUGCGGGCGAUUAUCUGUCCAUUUCGCGCUAUUUAUUCGUUCGAAAGUUUAUCGCAUGAGUAUCGUGCGUCGGGAGUGUCGUUUCGUGCUUGUAAUAAUAGUGUUUAGGAAUCGUUGCGUUGUGCAUUAAAAAUACCGCGUGCGUAAAACUCAGGAGUGCUGUUUCAAUUAACCGGUCGUACCGUAAAUGACAAUUAGUGCUAAAUAAGUAUGUGUUUGGAGCAACGAUGACACUCACAGCACGUAGCUGGACAUUGUAGCGGAUUGCAGCGGCAGGAUAUCGCAGCAGAAGCAGUGAAACCUCGACUGGAUUGCUUCACGUCGGCUCGAGAGAAAAAGAAAACUGUCGUGACGACAACAGAAUCGAAAUUAAUAACGUCGACUCACCUGCGCAUACGAGCCGCAACGUGAAGUUUGCUUGCCGAAACCAGCGAUCUACGCGUGUGCCGACACGGAUCCCAGGAUCUUCCCUCGCACUUCAGCACUGAUGGAGAAAAAAAGCAAGAGGAAAAACAGAUAUUCGGACAUGCAAACAUGCUUUGCGAUGAUGUAUAAUCCCAUAAAGUAUCAGCAACGUGAAGCCGGGAAAUCCUGAAGUUUAUACGGAUGUUCGACAAGUUUCCGCGAGAUAUUCAAAUUAUAGCAAGCCAUUAGCGUAGUUUCGCUAAUGACAUACUUAUCAUAUGAAUGCAUGUCACGGAGACUGGGUCAGUCAUGAUUUCGGACGUAUGUUACAUCAUAGCGCAUAUGCAAACACUAUUACAGCAGUCCUUCAGCCACUGUGCACACAACGUAAUUUAUUUCGGAGUUGCACAGUUAAUA